rnacentral:rRNA from 1 species
UACGUAGGGGGCGAGCGUUACUCGGAAUUACUGGGCGUAAAGCGUGCGCAGGCGGUUUUGUAAGUCAGGUGUGAAAUCCCCGGGCUCAACCUGGGAACUGCAUUUGUGACUGCACGGCUGGAGUGCGGAAGAGGGGGAUGGAAUUCCGAGUGUAGCAGUGAAAUGCGUAGAUAUGCGGAGGAACACCGAUGGCGAAGGCAAUCCCCUGGGCCUGGACUGACGCUCAUGCACGAAAGCGUGGGGAGCAAACAGG